GGGCGGAUAGCUCAGCUGGAAGAGCGCGGCCUUUACACGGCUGAUGUCGCAGGUUCGAACCCUGUUCUGCCCACCA
rnacentral:tRNA from 1 species